rnacentral:lncRNA from 1 species
AAAUAAUAAUUUAAUGAAUAACAAUAUCACAAUAUCAAUAUUAUCAAUAUAUUAUUCCUUUUGAUCUACAAUAAAAUACUGUAUAAUAUACAUUGUACAAAUAUGUCCACUUAAUACAACUGACCGGCUGGAGUACGGAUAUGAAAGCUUUUACUGAAUUAACUUUAACUGAGAGACAACUAUCAUAUUUUAUGUAAAACAACCAGUUUUUCUGUUACUAACACUAAAACAUGUUAAUGGCACUACCAUGGAAACAAAAUUUUGGCCGAAUUUGUGAGAGCAAUUAUUAACAUGGUCAUAUCAAAUUAUUGUAAUUUUGAAUUUUGAUAUUUUGGAAUAAACCAAAAUACAUGUUGAAGAAAUCUAUCCUGGUGUGAUGAUGAUUACCACUUAAAUCUAAAAUGAGCUUUUCCUGGGUUUUAAAUGAUUGCUUCAGAACAAUUUACCAAGAAGAUCAAAAGUGUGUUCAUACUUAAUAUGUAAUAAUUGUAUGAUUGAACUAAAUAAUAUAUUUUUAAGGAAAUAAUAUCAAGUCUACACAUAAAAACCUUACUAUUAUACAGUAAUUAUAAAUAAACAAUUCAAAGGAAAUAAAUAAAAAAUUAAUCAUAUGAUCAAUAUAUCACUUAUUUAAAUAUUCAAAGUGAAGUUGAGUAUUUUUUGCAUUUCGAAGAAGCAAAUAAAAACAAAGAGCAACAGACUCAAUGAAAAAACAAUAAACAAUCUAUUUCUUUACAGGAUACCCAAAAUGACUGUCUUCAUAUUAUGUCUCCAAAUAUGAGCACAACUAAAAAUUUCUAGGGCAUACUUUUUUUAAAUGUUUAAGAAUAAAUAAUGAACCAAAAUACAAGCUGCUUUUCUACCUAACAUUCUGAAAUUAAGCAAAUUCCAUAAAAUAACACAAUGCUUAAAAUAGUUGAAUUAACUAUAAUUAUUGUAAUUGUUUUCAAAAUAAAUGCACUGUUCAAUUUUUAGAAAGUAUUUCUGCUACUCAUUAAAGAAUAAACUGGUAAAUGAGAAUAAAAAAU